UUGACCUCGGAUCAGGUAGGAAUACCCGCUGAAUUUAAGCA
rnacentral:rRNA from 1 species